rnacentral:lncRNA from 1 species
GGUCUUAUUUCUACUGAGAAACAGUUCAAGCACUCACAAAACAAUAACCAAGAGAUGAUAUAUGAAAAAGUAUUGUAAGACUUGCAGAGCAGAUUUGAAUAGACAGUGGACGUCACACUGUGUGCUUGAGAGACUGGGAGACUUGCCAGAUUUUCAGCUUUAUUACUGGGUCUUUCAGCUCAGGGUGAAAGCGAAGUGCUCCUCUCUGCUGGAGAGCCACAGGGGCAAUACAGAGCAGCCUCGUCUUCCCUGCUCCUGCCCGUGUGGACGGCCAGUGUGACCAUGCACAUGACAAAGUAGUGCAUUCGUGGCGUAAAUACAAAACAUUCAACCGAGGAAAGUUACAGAGACAGGAGUAUUUAUUCUGAAAUCAUGUGAACCACUAUUACUGCGCACAGACAGACUACUCAAAAAUAAUGUGGCCUUUUAAGGUCAUUUUGUCUGCCUAAAGUAUUUUAGAUUUGUCACAGCAAAGAGUUUGAAUACUUACAGUAGGCAGCAGCUAGAAUUGUUACUUGGAGCAGAAAGCAUGACCACAUAACCCCCACACUUCUCUCUCUUCAUUGGUACAGGGUACAGGUACAGGGCGGACUUCAAAAUCCUUCUACUUAGUGCAUGGAGUACUGACACACAGAAGACAUGAUGGAUGGAUGGAUUAAUACCCUCAUUCAUUUAUUUCCUUUUUUAAAAAUUAUAUAAUAUUAGCAUGCCCAAAGGGUUUGGGCAGCCAGCUGACCUUGAACCCCUAGAGGUUUUUUUUCUCCUUACUGAGGAGUUUUUGGUUCCUCUCCUCCGUUGUCUUCUGGUCUUUUCUGUUCUGUAUUCACAACCUGUAUGGUCACUUGCUUUCUUAAGCGCCUUGGGGCAACC